UACGUAGGGGGCAAGCGUUGUCCGGAAUCAUUGGGCGUAAAGAGCGUGUAGGCGGCCCUGUCAGUCCGCCGUGAAAGUCCAGGGCUCAACCCUGGAAUGCCGGUGGAUACUGCCGGGCUGGAGUCCGGAAGAGGCGAGUGGAAUUCCUGGUGUAGCGGUGAAAUGCGCAGAUAUCAGGAGGAACACCAAUGGCGAAGGCAGCUCGCUGGGACGGUACUGACGCUGAGACGCGAAAGCGUGGGGAGCAAACAGG
rnacentral:rRNA from 1 species